rnacentral:rRNA from 1 species
AAAGAAAGCGUAAUAGCUCACUGGUCGAGUCGGCCUGCGCGGAAGAUGUAACGGGGCUAAACCAUGCACCGAAGCUGCGGCAGCGACGCUUAUGCGUUGUUGGGUAGGGGAGCGUUCUGUAAGCCUGUGAAGGUGUACUGUGAGGUAUGCUGGAGGUAUCAGAAGUGCGAAUGCUGACAUAAGUAACG